rnacentral:rRNA from 1 species
GACGUAGGAGGCGAGCGUUGUCCGGAUUCAUUGGGCGUAAAGAGCUCGUAGGCGGUUUGUUGCGUCGGCUGUGAAAUCCCGAGGCUCAACCUCGGGUCUGCAGUCGAUACGAGCAAACUAGAGUGUUGCAGGGGAGACUGGAAUUCCUGGUGUAGCGGUGAAAUGCGCAGAUAUCAGGAGGAACACCGGUGGCGAAGGCGGGUCUCUGGGCAACAACUGACGCUGAGGAGCGAAAGCGUGGGGGAGCGAACAGG